GUGGGAGCGCGCCCCGCUCCUGAUCCGUUGUUGCGCCUCUUGCUCCGUGGCUAAGGCGCGGACGGACGCGGAGGCGAGUGCAGGAAGAGCCGCCAGCACCACAGCCGCCGUCAGGGUUUGAGGACGGCCGUGGGCUCCGUCAAGGUGCAGCCGCGGCGGCGGAGGGCUUCCUGCGCUGCAGCCCAAGCGCGCGUGAGCCGGGGUGCGAGCAGCUGCCGGUGCCUCCGCGGCUGCAGCUGUGGAACUUGCUGGCGCUGCUGCGGAGCGGUCUCACCCUGCGGAGCAACUGCAGCGCCACUAGGGCCAGAUCACCAGGUUCCAGUCCAUUAAAGGACCUUGCAACAAGUGGCGCCAGAACAGGGGCCUGGUACAUGUGGCAGAUUUGGACGGAGUGACUCCAAGGACCUAUUGAGGUUGGCGCCAGCUGCUUCCCACCCCACAAUGCAAGAGGCUGUUUGGAGCAGAGAGAUGUCCAAAACUAUUGUCCAGAUUUGGUGUCACCUAGGGUAAGUCACUCAAGCUUGUUUUGCAUUACAUUUGUCCUGUAUUUGAUAAUACCUGUCAGACAUGACUGAGCAACUUCACUUUUACUUUUCACUUUCAUGCAUUGGAUAAGGAAAUGACAACCCACUCCAGUGUUCUGGCCUGGAGAAUUCCAG
rnacentral:lncRNA from 1 species